GAGCGUUGCCCGGAUUUAUGGGGCGUAAAGGGCGCGUAGGCGGUCACGCACGUCCGUUGUGAAAUCGCUCGGCUCAACUGGGCGGGGUCAGCGGAUACGGCGUGGCUGGAGCAAGCUAGGGGGCAAUGGAAUUCCCGGUGUAGUGGUGGAAUGCGUAGAUAUCGGGAGGAACACCAGUGGCGAAGGCGGUUGCCUGGAGCUUUGCUGACGCUGAUGCGCGAUAGCGUGGGGAGCGAUCCGG
rnacentral:rRNA from 1 species